GACGAACGCUGGCGGCGUGCUUAACACAUGCAAGUCGAACGGAAAGGCCCUGCUUUUGUGGGGUGCUCGAGUGGCGAACGGGUGAGUAACACGUGAGUAACCUGCCCUUGACUUUGGGAUAACUUCAGGAAACUGGGGCUAAUACCGGAUAGGAGCUCCUGCUGCAUGGUGGGGGUUGGAAAGUUUCGGCGGUUGGGGAUGGACUCGCGGCUUAUCAGCUUGUUGGUGGGGUAGUGGCUUACCAAGGCUUUGACGGGUAGCCGGCCUGAGAGGGUGACCGGCCACAUUGGGCCUGGGACACGGCCCAGACUCCUAGGGGGGGGAGGGGUGGGGAAUUUUGCCCAAGGGGCGGAAGCCUGGUGCAGCAACGCCGCGUGCGGGAUGGCGGCCUUCGGGUUGUAAACCGCUUUCGCCUGUGACGAAGCGGGAGUGGCGGUAAUGGGUAAAGAAGCCCCGGCUAACUACGU
rnacentral:rRNA from 1 species